rnacentral:rRNA from 1 species
GGACUACUGGGGUAUCUAAUCCGGAUCGCUCCCCACGCUUUCGCGCCUGAGCGUCAGGACCGGCCCAGAGAGCCGCCUUCGCCACUGGUGUUCCUCCCGAUCUCUACGCAUUCCACCACUACACCGGGAAUUCCGCUCUCCCCUGCCGGCCUCCAGCCCGCAGGUCCCCGACGGCCUCCCCCGGUUGAGCCGGGGGCUUUCACGCCGGGCUCUGCAGGCCGCCUGCGCGCGCUUUACGCCCAAUGAUUCCGGACAACGCUCGCCCCCUACGUAUUACCGCGGCUGCUGGCAC